GGACUAUAGCUCAGUGGGUAGAGUAUUUGCCUUGCAUGCACAAGGCCCUGGGUUCCAUCCCCAGCACCA
rnacentral:tRNA from 1 species